rnacentral:rRNA from 1 species
UACGUAGGUGGCGAGCGUUAUCCGGAAUGAUUGGGCGUAAAGCGAGCGCAGGUGGUUUAUUAAGUCUGGUGUAAAAGGCAGUGGCUCAACCAUUGUAUGCAUUGGAAACUGGUAGACUUGAGUGCAGGAGAGGAGAGUGGAAUUCCAUGUGUAGCGGUGAAAUGCGUAGAUGUAUGGAGGAACACCGGUGGCGAAAGCGGCUCUCUGGCCUGUAACUGACACUGAGGCUCGAAAGCGUGGGGAGCAAACAGG